rnacentral:lncRNA from 1 species
CAGUUGAAGCAUUUCCAGUAGACUCAUCAAUCAUGGUUUCCCCUCUGUUAUCAACUGUAUAAGCAGUUGUCAUUAGGGCAGAUCGGAUCGCCGCCGGGCUCCAUUCUGGGUGAGCUGCUUUUAACAGAGCAGCAAGGCCUGAAACAUGAGGACACGCCAUGGAAGUACCGGAAAGAAUAUUGAACUCUGUUCUUCGUUUAUCAGUCGGAACUCCUGAUGGACCAACUUUAUCAGGCCAAGCAGCAAGAAUAUUCAAUCCAGGAGCUAUCACGUCUGGUUUUAGAAUCUCAGGAGUUUCAGGGUUAGGUCCUCGGGCGGAGAAGGAAGCUACAACCGGAGCGGGUCGGAUCUUCAAUCGGGUUCCUUUGAAUAUUAUCGUUGCAGCAGGUGGUGA